rnacentral:rRNA from 1 species
GAUGAACGCUGGCGGCGUGCCUAAUACAUGCAAGUCGAGCGAACAGACGAGGAGCUUGCUCCUCUGACGUUAGCGGCGGACGGGUGAGUAACACGUGGAUAACCUACCUAUAAGACUGGGAUAACUUCGUGAAACCGGAGCUAAUACCGGAUAAUAUAUUGAACCGCAUGGUUCAAUAGUGAAAGACGGUUUUGCUGUCACUUAUAGAUGGAUCCGCGCCGCAUUAGCUAGUUGGUAAGGUAACGGCUUACCAAGGCAACGAUGCGUAGCCGACCUGAGAGGGUGAUCGGCCACACUGGAACUGAGACACGGUCCAGACUCCUACGGGAAGCAGCAGUAGGGAAUCUUCCGCAAUGGGCGAAAGCCUGACGGAGCAACGCCGCGUGAGUGAUGAAGGUCUUCGGAUCGUAAAACUCUGUUAUUAGGGAAGAACAAAUGUGUAAGUAACUAUGCACGUCUUGACGGUACCUAAUCAGAAAGCCACGGCUAACUACGUG